CUGAAAACCUUCUAUCCUUUACGGGUAGACUUUACAUAGAUAAAUUAAGUCGUAUAAUAAAAACAAAAUGAGUAUGUUAAAUUUGAUGUAUGCCUUUUUGUGCUUCUUCGUUACAUUUGUUGUUUUUAUAGUGAUAUUAAGAUGAUAACACAAUAUUGACUGCUGUACCCCUAUUUUUGACAUUUUUACUCUUUGAGUAUGUUUGUUUUGUUCAUGCAUCGUUGACAAUGUAAUGGAAUUUGAUGCGACUGUCAUACAAGUGAGAGGUUUAGCUAGCUAUACAACCAGGUUCA
rnacentral:lncRNA from 1 species